UCAGAGUUAUGGCACGUGAACGCAUGUCACGGAGGCUGCUAAAGCACAUCACGAGACAUGUGCUCGAAGACAGACGAAGCCAAGGAGGGAAACAGCGGAAAAGACGUCCAGCACUGUUACAGAUAAUGGGACAAAGAAAACCUUCUGGAAAUAAGCAGAUAUCAGAGAAAGUUCAAGACAGAAAGAGACUAAGAGAGUAUCACCACCCUGGCCAGGCUGAGAGAGAUGAUCAUGAU